rnacentral:lncRNA from 1 species
AUAUAAAAGAUGCACAAGCACGUGAUUUAAACGGAAAAAGAAACAGUGCUACAAAACUAAACUACGGGAGUGAAUAAAACGAUCAUCAAGCGACAGCCCCUCCGACAGCUCACCGGAAAUCAAGGUUUCACCGGAAUAACUCAAUCUCACCGGAAAAUUGAUUUUACCGGAAAAUUUGGCCAUUCCAAAUAUAACAAAUGAAAACCCACUAAACUCUAAACCAAAUUCAACAACAAAUUCUACACUAAAAAGCCCCUAAACUACUCAUUUUUGACCAAAACAAGACUCAAAUCAAACCAAAUGAACUCCAAACUACACCAAAUUUCAAAUCUAGCCUAAACAUAAUAUUUCCAACAUAAACCCACUAACCUCAAUUCAAAAUCAUAAACUAAAAUUUACACCAAAAAGCCCCCAAAAAUACUAAAACCAAGAACAAGAACAACACCAAAGCAUACCAAACUAACUCCAAAUCAAGCCAAACUUCAAAACUAGCUUAUCUACCAUGUUUCUAACAAAACCCCAUCAAAAUACAAACCAAAAUAUCAACUACAUCAUUGAACCCACUAAUAAUAUUGAGAAUUAUAAGGGGCUCAAGCUAAAUACUAAAAAUGUAAGCUUAAAACAUAAACUAAAGGCUCUUUCAACCCACAAGUGGUUGGCAUAAAUGCCACUUUAUCCACUUGUUGAAGGGAAAGUUGGUCAUAGCCAUAAAUUUCAACAAGGUAAGAAUGCAAGAGAUAAAGAAACCAAACUUGAACUUAUAUAAAUGAAAGUGUUUACAAUAUUUGAGAGAUUACAAUUUGAAAGAACAAGCUAUUCUAGAUGUUGAGAAUGAUAAAGGAGGCUACUAACAACUAGGUAAAAACUAGGGUAAAGACUAAGCUAAAACUAAGUUGGUGGCUAAUGAGAGAAAAGGAUAUUUAUAUAGGCCUAGAUUAGGGUUUUAGGGGUAGAAGGAUCCUUGUGUCUUGAUUUUCUUUUCCUUUUCUUCUUCUUCUUCUUUUUCUUUUCUUUUUCUUCCUCUUUUUCCCUUCUUGCACCUUUUUGUUCCUUUUUCUCUUGAAUUCUCGCUUUCCCUAAAAAUUCCUGAAAACAAAAUAAUUAACUAAUAAAAUACGAAAACAAGCAAUAACAUCACUAGACAAUCUCUCCAUCAAAGGUCUUGUGCAAAUGUGUGUGCAAUCUUGGAAUUACGAGUACAAAUCGGUCGAUACAAGUUUCAAAAAGACAACCUUACUCAACUACGUUCAAAUUAUCUAAAAGACACUACAUAUAUGUACUUUUCGAAAACAUGCUAAACACCAACUACUCCUAAAGUUCGAGUGAGGGAAAGACAGUCUUAGCUAAAACAUCUUUAUUUUUGAAUUUUUCUAAUUUUUCAUUUUUUACGGUUUUUUCAUUUUUUAAGAAUUACACUAAAGCCCUCCUCAUACCUAAAUCAUGCAUUGUCCUCAAUGUAUGCAAAAGAGAGAAUUGAAAUGAGAGAGUAAAGAGGAAAAAAACCUGAAUUGCAUAUGAAGAGGAUUUUUAUUAACGAACGAAACACUAACACGACUCACACACUCAUACAUUUCCUUCCCCAUACCUGAACUUCAUGAGGGAAGGUUCUAAGAAGAACCAAAUCAACCAAUUCCGGAAGGAAAUAUAGGAGGAAGCUUCGAGAAAGAGUCAAAAUGUGUGCAAAAAUUUUUAAGCAAAAAGACUUUCUCUAGCAUGUGACCAUCGUUUACCCCUAUAUGACAAGCAUCACUAAUGUUCUCCCUAAACCAACUUAAUGCUUCUUUAUUAUCAAGCAAAUUAGAGACUAUGCAAUUUUGGUCAUGGGAUAAAUCACUAGGAACGAUGUAAGAAAUGAUGUCAUCCUUUCCUAAGGCGCUAUGUGAAUGAUGGAACAAUGAGUCAAAUGUCGAUGGUUUACCAACAUGACUCUCAAAAUCGGGCUUAGGGUCAAUGCUAACAAUCUCGGGUGGAGUUUCCCAUUUUGAAUAAAUGUCGUUCAAUUCUCCUAACAUCUCUUCUGAGGUCAACUCCUUCAAAGACUCAUGAUAUUCCCUAUUAUUCUCAUUGUUGACUUUGAAAUCCUCACCAAGAAGAGACUCAAUCUCACUAUCCUCGAAACUAGACCAUGUGACAAACUUGUUGACCACAUUAACCCCUAUAGGUUGCUCAUAAAGUUCAUUGGGUUCUUUUCCUACAUUGAAAAUGUUUAAGUCUAUGGUCAUGUUUCCAAAAGUGAGCUUCAUUGAACCAUUCCUACAAUUGAUUAAGGCAUUGGAUGUAGCAAGAAAAGGUCGUCCUAAAAUGAUAGGAAUUUGGUUCUUAGGAUUCGAGACGGGUUGAGUCUCGAGAACAACAAAGUCAACGGGAAAGAUAAAGUCACCGAUUUUGAUCAACACAUCCUCAAUAAUCCCCUUUGGCAUUUUAAUAGAACGAUCGGCAAGUUGAAGGGUCAUAUUGGUGGUCUUGAGAUCCCCUAAACCUAGGGCUUGGUAGACCGAGAAAGGAAGAAGAUUCACACUCGCUCCUAAAUCAAGUAAAGCUUUAUCCACAAAAGUAUUGCCUAUGACACAAGAAAUUGUAGGACAACCGGGGUCCUUAUAUUUCACGGGAAUUUGAUUCGAGAGAAUCGAGCUUACUUGCGAGGUUAAAAAGGCUUUCUUAGGAACAUGGGUGGUUCGCUUAUGGGUACACAAAUCUUUUAGACACUUGGCAUACGAAGGAACUUGUUGAAUGGCAUCUAAAAGAGGAAUGUUUAUCUUGACUUGUUUAAAACCUCUAGAAUUUGUUCCAUUUGGGCCGAUUGUUUAGGGCGAAUGAGUCUUUGCGGGUAAGGAACCUUUAGCUUAUAAACUUCUUCGUUGGGCUUUUGAGAGAUGGGGCCAGGACUAGGUUCACUCAUAGACUCACUGACUCUAGAACAUUCGGGCUUAUCAUGAUUAGUGCUAGACAAAGAAGGAUUUGUUUUAGGAAUCGACUCCGCAUUUUCAUUCACGUGCUCACCUACUUUGUUAUCCACUUGAUUUCCCGACCUUAGAGAAAUAAUCGCAUUAACAUUCUCGGGAGGUCUUUGAUUGAGAGGAAACUUAGGAUUGACCUCGGGUUGACUUGGCAACUUGUUCUUCUCUCGCUCACACAAUGUGCUAGCUAAUUGACUCAUUUGGGCCUCUAACUUAGACACGGCUUGCACAUUAGAAUGCAAAAUUUGCCUAUCUUGGGUUAGGGUUUGCAUGAAGGUUUGUUGAGAUUGGGUCAAAUUAGUUUACGAUUUCACUAAGGCUUCCAAACUUUUUUCUAAGGAAUUAAGACGUUUAUCCGAAUCAUUAAAACCGGGAGGAUUCAAAGGUGUUUGGAUUGGAUAACGAAUUGAAUUCGGAAUUUGGGUUGAGCAAGAGUUUGUGUUCGGCCUUUGUUGAAAAUUUGGUUGAUGAGUUUGAAAAGUUGGGUUUUGAUUUUGAAAAAAUUUGACCUUGGGUCCAUGAGAAAUUUGGGUGAUUUCUCCAACCCGGAUUGUACGUGGGUUCAAAUGGGUCAUUCCUAGGAUUUUGAAACAUUGCGCUCACAUGUUCAAAUUCGUGCGAGGGUUGGGUUGCGGGAUUCACUACACCAUAUUUCACCUGUUGCAACGGCUGAAAAAUGUAGCCUUAGGGCCUAAAAUUGUUACAAUAAACGUUUUGGUAACAUUUUUGUUAAAAUUUGGUGUUGCAUUUGCUGCCGUUGCAAUAGACCCCUGUUGCAACAUAUAUUUUGUUUCUUGCAACAUUUUUGAGGUAUUGCAAUAGACUUUUAAUUGUAAUCUAUUGCAACAUUUUCGAGACCUUUGGUAACAAUUUUAUAGUGUUACAAUAAAUUUACUGUAACAUUUCUUUGUAACACUAUAUACUUAAAAACUGUUGCAUACCAAUAAUUUGAAAUUUUGUUGUAACAGUUUUGUGCAACAAUAUUAAACCAAUUGCAAUACUUUUUAGUUUUUUGGUAACACAUUUGUGCAACAGUUUUAUGUGUAUUGUAAUGCUUUUAAAUUUUCUGGCAACAUUAUGUAUUCUCUUACAAUACUUUUGAGGCCUGAUUUACAAUGAUACUAUAUAAAUGCAAUAGUACUAUGAAAUUUUCUUGACUUGAAACUAACCAAAAGAAAAUACAAAGUACAAACCGAGUCAUCAAGUUGAAAGAUACAUAGAAACCGGAGUAAUGUACCAAUUUAUAAACCAUCCUUACAAAAGUCAAUCUAAAAGCAAGAAUAGAUGAAGAAGUAAAAAUAAAAAGUGACUAAAAAUCUUCAUUCAUCACUAUGUUGAGAAGCUGCAUUCCCAUCCUCCUCAUUCUUAAGUGACUAAAAGCUGCAUUCUAUAUUUUCAUCUGCAUAAGUGUAGUUUAAUAGACUGCAAGGCAAUAACAAGAACCAAAUAUAAAUUCUAUAAGUACAAAUACUACAUAUGUUUGUCGACAAUUUAGUUAUAUAUGUUACAUGAACCUUGUGCACAUGACCCAUUCAUACUUAAAUUAGUCAUAUUAGCAUAAAGAGGUUUCUGAACUUCUGCAAGGUUGAAAUAGAAGCCUCUUUCAUUAACCAUGCAAACAUCAACUCCUACACUAAUUUUAGUAGCCUGCAAUAAUGAGAUAGUCUUACAUAAGUACUACUAUGCAAUAUAAUCAAAGGUAAAUAAUUAAAAAAUGAGGUAGAUUGAUUUGUGUACCAUUUUCCAUAGACGCAGCCCUUAUUCUACUAUGGAUGGUUAGCAAUUAUAGAGAAUCACAACAUUAUCUAAUCAAAGCUGAUGGGAGAAGCAUCAGCAAAUAUAUAUGAUAUAAAAAAAAUAAUGAAUUAGUUUUUAUACCUCAUGAAUGUACGAGGUACAUAUACUUUUCCCUUCAUGCCCCCCGUAUGUACCCAUAUGAAGCAGUGAGAAUGCCACCUUCAGUGCAAUCAGCGGUGAUCUUCUUUUACAAGUCUAGUAACCUGCAUUAUACUUAAAAGUAACUACUUUAAGUUCUACUGGUAGUAUUAAAGUAAGUUUCAAAGUUUUUUGUACGUAAUGGUUAGCUUUUAUCACACAUAGGCUAAGUAAACAGAGAGUGAAAGUGAGUAAACUAUCAAUAAUGAACAUAUACAAACAAGAUUAGAAAAUUAAAUAUAAAAAGAUAUGUAUAAAUAAAACACCAUCUUGGCAGCAUUGUGUGCAUCAAGCUCUUCUUCUGGCCGCAAUUCUAAAGAAGACAGCUCCUCCUUUAUAGCCUGAUACAAUUUAUGUCAUUCAUCUCAGAUUUAUUAUAAGCUAACAUAUGUAAAUGGUUUGUUAAUAUUAACACAAUGUGUGAUGGAUGAGAGAAUCAACUUAAAUCAUCCUUGUUUCAGUUAGUUCUCUAUUUCUCAUUAUUGUUUUCCUUUUCGUUAAAUAUUGUCCUGCAGCAUAGUGUUUAACAUUCUGUCAAAGUGAAAAUACCAAGACACAGCUUGACAUAUGCUCUUUCACAACCAAUUAACCAUUUUAGUAUCUAACUAUUUCCAAAAGUCAAAAAAGAAACUAAUAAAGGUCACUAUAAUAAAACUUAACUUGGCAUGUGGAUCAGGCAUAUGACAGAAUAACAAACAGGCAUAACAUCUUUUUACAUUAAAACAGACAAACACAUACACAUACUCAGUAAUAAAGCAAAAACGAGCAAAGUUCCAAGCAAGCAAUACACUAAGCAACCAAGUACCAAAAAUGGAUGACUAAGCAACGAAGUAACAGAAAAAAAUAAUACCUCGCUUUGGUUUCCUCGCUACUAACCAAAACCCAAACAUCCAAACUCCAAUCACAAACAAAAACUCCAAACUCCAAUUGAAACCCACCUGAACUUCUAGCUUUAAAGUCCGGUCGAAACCCACUUGACCCUCUUACACCCACAUGACCCCAUUGAAAACUAACCAAAAUAACACAAGAAGAAGGUAAUUAAAAUAUUGAAUUCUUAGAACAGACAUCCUUGACACAAAGAAACAAAUCUAUGCAAGAAAGACCCAGACAAUGACAUACCCGGAGGUUUUAUGAGUUUGUACCAGCAAAUCGAACAAUCGAAACUCUAAAGGAAACAAAUCGGAGCUUGUAUGACCUUCUAAUUGACCAUAAGAGCUUGUAUGAGCUUUUACUCAACCAGAAUGAUCGCAUCGAAGCUUGUAUGAACAAAUCGAAGAAUGAGAAAGAAGGGGCUAAGGUUCCCAAAGAAGACGGCAGCUUAUAUGUUUUAAUGUUUUUUGUCUAAAGUUUAUGUUUUAAACCUGUUAAACUUAAUGUUUAUGUUUUAAACCUGUUAAACUUAAUGUUUUAUUUUAAGAAACUGUUACAAAGCGGGAGUUGUGAAAUUGAUUAAGGGGGGAAAUUUAUUUAAUUUUUUAUUAAGCGUGCACACGGACAACUCAUAAAAUUUAUUUAAUUUUUUUAAUUUUAUAAAAAAUUAUUAUUUUAUGGUAUAUGUUGUUUCAAAUUUUUUAAUAUUUAUUAAAAUAAGUUAACCAUUAAUAUUAAUAUAAAAUCUAAUAUUUUAAUAUUUAUAAAAAUAAAUUAAUCAAUUAUUUGCUAAUUAGAAUGUUUUUACAAUUAAUUUUAUCCAUAUUAAUUACAUUAAGUUGGAUGAUAAGAUCAUUUUAAAAUUAUUUUUUAAAAAAAAUUUAAACUUAUUUAAAAAUAAUUAAAUAUUUUUACAACAUUUAAAAUAUAUAAAUAUUUAUUUACUUGGACGACCUUAUAUAUAUUUUUAAAUUGAAUAUUGAUUAGUGCCAAAGUCAAUAAAUAUGUAAAUUUGAAAUUCAUAAUUAAAUAGUAUAAUUUUGUUUAUUAAUACUCUAUUGCAGCACAUGGAUUUGGCUAUGAUAACAAAAUGGAUAUACAAAGGAGAAGAGGAGAUAUUUGUUUUUUGAAAGUGAAAUGUUUGUUUUGGGGUGUUUGUUUUUGGGUAACUAUUUUGGUACCCGCCACUGAAAAAAAGAAGAAGCCCGCCUAAUUUUUUAUUCCACUUGACAAAUAUGUUGCAAACAACCGUAACGUUUAAAAAAAGUGUUACAAUUGGCAUCAACUUUUUUAACUCUCACUAAAAAUUACCAAGCAUGCAACACUUUUCAGUUUUAGGUAACAUUUUCAAAAACUAUUACAAAAGAGUAGCUAUUUUUUGGCCUAUUGCAACAUUUUUUGCAACAUGCCGUUGCAACAGGUCAAAUAUGGUGUAGUGAUUGUAAUUCGGGUAGGUUGACAUAUGUGGGGGAGAUUUACUAGUUUCUAAAGCUUCGAGUCUCUUAGUUAGGGUAACUAAUUUGGCAUCGGUUGCCACAUUGUUUCCUAUCGAGUGCAAACCCCUCGAGCUAGAUGACUCGAUCGACUUUUUAGGUUCCCUCGUUGACUCCCACAACAUAGUCUUUUCCGCUAAAUCUUCGAAAAAUUCUCACCCUUGGUCCUCAUCUUUCUCCAUGAAUUUACCUUGGCACAUAGACUCUAAUAACGCAGUGGUUUGACUAUCUAAGGCCUCGUAAACUAUUUUGCAAAGUCUCCAUUUUUCUAUUCCGUGGUGGGGGCAUUGUGAUAGGAGAUUUUUAAAACGAUCAAAGAAUUUCCAAAAAGACUCAUUUUCCCUUUGAUGAAAUUGAUUUAUUUCAUUUGUAAUUCGAGUAGUCUUAUGAUUUGGAAAAUACUUUUUAAGAAAAACCACCAAAAACCCCUCCCACGUGGAAAUAGAAUUAACGGGAAGACUAUAUAACCAUUUUUUCGCAUUCUCUUUAAGCGCAAAAUUAAUGAGCCUAAGUCUAAUCGAAUCUUCCGUCAAUUGGUGGAGCUUUUGAAGGGAACAAACUUCCUCGAAUUCUUGGAUGAAAAGAUAAGGAUCCUCACCCUCACUCCCGGUAAUUUAGGUAACAUGCUAAUAUGAUGAGCUUUGAUUUCAAAAUUGUUCCCAUUUACCGGAGGAAGGGUGAUGCACGAUGGUUGACUUGAACGAGAUGGGUAACAACGAUCUUUGAGUGAAAGGGCCAUGUUAACUAUCGGUUCUUGAACUUAUAGGGUUUUGGAAUCCGAAGAGGACAAGGGAAUCUCGAUUAUAGGUCUUACUAAUCUAGAUGACUCGUUCCUAACCCAAGUAGUUCGCAUAAACAAGAUAGUAAACACGUAGCAAAUAAGUGCUAAAAAGUAAAACAAAUAAAAGAAAGGGUGUAAAAGCGAAAGAAUAACCUAAUUCUAGGGUUCCCUAAUAAAAAGAACUAGACCUUGCUCCUAACGUUAAGGACCACCAAAAACUCGAUAAAUCAAUUAUUAUUCGGACCGGUUUGGCCAGUUUGGAGCAGGCAUUGCCAAGAGGCCAAUCUCCGCGCUUAGACACCAAACCUUAAUCGGUCAGGUAAGCUUUCGCUAGCCUUAGACACCGAAGAGUCGGAAUAAUUAAAGAUUACCUCGUUCUUUAGGUACCUUCCUAAUUGAGCGCGAAAAUCCUAGGGGUUAACAUCUAAUUCAUUUUAUUAAAGAGGCAUGGGAAUGCAAAAUGAAGAAUUAAAUUGUUGUGGGCCAAGGAAAGAGUUAUGAAACCCCUCCCCUUAUCUUAUGAAUGGGUUUUGCCCUUAAGAUUUAUUUAAAAUGAUGCUCCACACAACGAUAUAAUUAAAGCUAUAAACAAUUGUGGAUGCUCUAAACUAUGUGUUUUAUCUAAAGAAAGAAAGAAAUUAACGCACCUUAGGGUCCUCCAGCGAUCAGCACAAUUAAAGGUACGAAAAUUUAAAAACAAAAAUUAAAAUCUAAAUGAUGUGCACUAAGUGCAAAAUGCAUGAUGCAACACAUAUGUAAUUCUAUCUAAUAUUUUUGGAUUUUAAAAUUAUAAUUUGUUUGUGUUUUUCAAUUUUCAGAUUUUUUUUGUGAUUUUCUAAAUAAAAAAAUUGAAAUAGGAGAGAGAUACAAGUUACCCAAGCAAGCUUCCAAUACUUCAAGAAUAUUCUCCACUUAUUCCAAGCUAGCUCAUAUUCCUCCAAUUUCCUAAAAUGCAAACAAAAAGAAGUGAGAGAAUAUUAAAAAAAAACUAAUCCGAAAAAUUAAAAAUUAAGUCGCGAAAAUUAAUUUUAGUCCCCGGCAGCGGCGCCAAAAAGUUGAUGUGCUAGAAAUAAUGAUUUUGAUUGCAAGCGCACAAUCCCGUUUUAAUAUUUUUAGAUUCGUUCCACAAGGACUAAAGUUAUUUUCGCAAAAACCUUAAUUUUUAAGUUAAUCAAAUUAGACCAAAAGAUUUUGAGAGAUUUUAUAAUCUAAAUGACAAAACGUAAUCUAAGAAAAUAAUUAGAAUUUUUGAAAAAAGUUUUAACAACUAAAAUUAUAUAUUAAUUAUAAAAAGAUUUAGAUGUGAAUGUGUUUGUAAAUUGUAAUGCGCGGAAAAGAAAAGGAAGGUGAUGCACAUAACUACUGUCAAGUACAGUGACUCGCGGCAGGUAACCGGAGAAAAGAAAAUAAAAUAAUAAUAAACAUAUAAAAGAUGCACAAGCACGUGAUUUAAACGGAAAAAGAAACUGUGCUACAAAACUAAACUACGGGAGUGAAUAAAACGAUCAUCAAGUGACAGCCCCUCCGACAGCUCCACGGAAAUCAAGGAUUCCACGGAAUAACUCAAUCUCACCGGAAAAUUGAUUUUACCGGAAAAUUUGGUCAUUCCAAAUAUAACAAAUAAAAACCCACUAAACUCUAAACCAAAUUCAACAAUAAAUUAUACACUAAAAAGCCCCUAAACUACCCAUUUUUGACCAAAACAAGACUCAAAUCAAACCAAAUGAACUCCAAACUACACCAAAUUUCAAAUCUAGCCUAAACAUAAUAUUUACAACAUAAACCCACUAACCUCAAUUUAAAAUCAUAAACUAAAAUUUACACCAAAAAGCCCCCAAAAAUACUAAAACCAAGAACAAGAACAAUACCAAAGCAUACCAAACUAACUUCAAAUCAAGCCAAACUUCAAAACUAGCUUAUCUACCAUGUUUCUAACAAAACCCCAUCAAAAUACAAACCAAAAUAUCAACUACAUCAUUGAACCCACUAAUAAUAUUGAGAAUUAGAAGGGGCUCAAGCUAAAUACUAAAAAUGUAAGCUUAAAACAUAAACUAAAGGCUCUUUCAACCCACAAGUGGUUGGCACAAAUGCCACUUUAUCCACUUGUUGAAGGGAAAGUUGGUCAUAGCCAUAAAUUUCAACAAGGUAAGAAUUCAAGAGAUAAAGAAACCAAACUUGAACUUGUAUAAAUGAAAGUGUUUACAAUAUUUGAGAGAUUACAAUUUGAAAGAACAAGCUAUUUUAGAUGUUGAGAAUGAUAAAGGAGGCUACUAACAACUAGGUAAAAACUAGGGUAAAGACUAAG